rnacentral:lncRNA from 10 species
AGUCCUGCCAACAGCUGUGAGUGAGCAUGGACGCAGAUCCUCUCCCAGUGGAGCAUUUGGAUGACCACGGCUCUGGCUAACACCUCACUUACAGCCUUGGGAGAGAUUCUGAGUCAGAGGCAUCCAGCUAAAUUGACCCACAGACACGGACCAUGUUGGGGAACUGUUUGAAAAAUGAUGAAAUGGAGAAGAUAAUUUGUGCAUCCAGUUGAAAGACUUAGCGCUGUCUACAGAUCAAGCAGCAGAAAUGAGGAAA